AAAAAUUGUUUCUUAGCAAUGUAGGAUGGCAACAUAAUCUUAGACUUGAGUUGAAUAUUCAAACUUGGCUAUGCAGUAUUUGAUUACAUUGAUCAUAUGCGAAGCAAUUUCAAAAUGUAUAUAUUACAUAACAAGAAAGCAAAAGAAGUUUAGUAAGAAUUGAAGAGAACAACAAAAGCCAGAGAAGAGAACUGGCAAGUUAACAUGGAAGAAAGAAAAUUGAUUUACAGAAACAAGCAUGGUCUUGGAUUCCUUUUUUUCUUCUUUGGUUUAGGAGGCUGCAAAACAACUUUGAUUGCUGCAUCAAACACCACCUUCACAUUCUGCCAAUAGUCAUAACAAAAUAUGUAAGAUUCAGUUUCAAGCAAGAACAGAAAAGACAUAAGUUAACCAAAUCGUUUGCAAUACAGUUCCAGAUAUACUCAAGCUAUGCAAGUUUUGUUGUUGGUCCUAAAGUACUAGGUAAUUUACAAUUAAGUUAUAUAGCAAAACCCUUUCUUCCUUGAACUUCUCUCUAAGAUCUCUUUAUUCUCAAGACAAGGCAUUUGGAUAUAUAGAAAUAUAUAUAUAAUAGAACCUGCUGAGUUUUUGAACUGCACUCUAUGUAAAAAGCAGCACCAAUCAUCUUCUUUAGUUCCUCCCCCUGAGCAGUUGUCAUUGGUGUGGCGCCAGGAUGAUCAAUCAAAUACUGCUUGUCAUCUCUCAAAUCUGUGGUUCAUUACAUCCCUCCAGUGUCAGAUACAGAGAUGUUAUGUAAAAUUAUGGAAAAUCGAAACUUUCUUCAAAUUACUAGAAUUGAUCUUUACCAAGCUUGGUUCCCACCAGCACAAUUGGCACAGUUGGAGCAUAAUGCCUCAGCUCAGGAAUCCACUGGUGACCCCCCACACCCACAAAAAGAAAAAGAAACAGAAAAAAAAAAUAAAGAAAAUUAUAGAAAGGGGCAAAUUUCAAUACCUUAAAGUUAUAAAUUGUAAAGUAAAAACCUUCUUGGAGAUGUUCUCAUAGCUAGCUUUGCUUAUGAGGGAGAAGGCUAAAAUGAACACAUCUGCACCCCUAUAACUCAGUGGCCUCAAUCUGUUAUAAUCCUCCUGUCCUGCAGUAUCCCAUAAUCCAAGAUUGAUUGUGCUGCCAUCAACAACAACAUUAGCACUGAAGUUGUCAAACACUGUAGGCACAUAAUCAUUGGGGAAGGUGUUACUGGUGUAAGAGAUGAGCAUGCAUGUCUUGCCAACUGCUCCAUCCCCAACAGUGACACACUUGAUGAACCUAGCUGUGCUCAUUUUUUGAAAAUUCUUUGUUCUUUUCUUUACCCUCUUACUUCAUCACUACAGGCUUCUAUUCUGUACCUCUCUGCUUUACUACUCUCAAAGAAUAUUCAAUGAGGACUUGCACAAUAGUGUUGAAGGGAAUUUGUUUUUUUGAGGUGGGUUGGGUUUAAAAUUUG
rnacentral:misc_RNA from 1 species